CACAACAUCCAGUACUAUGAGAAGGUAAGAGGGCCGACCACAACAUCCAGGACUAUGAGAAGGUAAGAGGGCCGACCACAACAUCCAGUACUAUGAGAAGGUAAGAGGGCCGACCACAACAUCCAGUACUAUGAGAAGGUAAGAGGGCCGACCACAACAUCCAGGACUAUGAGAAGGUAAGAGGGCCGACCACAACAUCCAGGACUAUGAGAAGGUAAGAGGGCCGACCACAACAUCCAGUACUAUGAGAAGGUAAGAGGGCAGACCACAACAUCCAGUACUAUGAGAAGGUAAGAGGGGAGAUGACCCACUGCCUUUUUGUUAU
rnacentral:lncRNA from 1 species